CGUGAACGCUGGCGGUAGGCCUAACACAUGCAAGUCGAGCGGCAGCACAGUUAGUGUUUGUUUUUACGGGUGGCGAGUGGCGGGCGGGUGAGGAAUAGAUCGGAAUCUCCUUAUCCGUGGGGGUUCACCUAGGGAAACCUACGCUAAUACCGCAAUUGCACUACGGGUGAAAGCCGCGCAUCUUCGGAUCUUGCGCUAUCGAGUGUGCCGAUGUCGGAUUAGCUAGUUGGGGGGGCAACGGCCCACCAAGGCGACGAUCCGUAGCUGGUCUGAGCGGAUGUUCUGCCACACCGGAACGGAGACACGGCCCAGACUCCAACGGGAGGCAGCAGUGGGGCAUAGUGGACAAUGGGAGGAAGCCUGGUCCGGCCAUGCCGCGUGGGUGAAGAAGGCAUGCGGGUAGUAAAGCCCUUUUGUUGGGAAAGAAAAUCAGCAGGUAAAACCCCCGCUGUCCUGACGGUACCCAAUGAAUGAGCACCGGCUAACUUCGUG
rnacentral:rRNA from 1 species